GCCCUUUUAAGAGAUGGCUGAAAAGGAGGUCAUAUGUACUUUUAUCAGAAUAGUGCAAGCUGAGCAGAGUAAAUGAAUGCCAUAAUCAGAAUAGAAAAACUGUUUUGCAAAUUCGCUGUUCACUACCAUCCUGGGAAAAACCAACUCCAAGAUUCCAUGACAUUUCGCUAAAAUCAGGACUGAUUCUCCAAGAUCUUCACAGUUGUACAUCGUACCUUUUACAGCAUGGUGUGCUUAUGAAAUUCUAGCACAUUUUUUUCCUUUGGGAGCAUUUCUGUGGAUAUUAUGCAGCUCAGCAUCACACCCACUCUUAGUUGACUGUGGUAAUUACUUGUGAAUUGUACAUACCAAACUUUAUUCAGUUUUUUUUUUU